rnacentral:rRNA from 1 species
GACGGAAGGUGCAAGCGUUGCUCGGAAUCACUGGGCGUAAAGAGCGUGUAGGCGGUCCGGUAAGUCGGCUGUGAAAGUCCAGGGCUCAACCCUUGGAAGCCGGCCGAUACUGUCGGACUAGAGUCCGGAAGAGGCGAGUGGAAUUCCCGGUGUAGCGGUGAAAUGCGCAGAUAUCAGGAGGAACACCGGUGGCGAAGGCGGGUCUCUGGGCAGUGAACUGACGCUGAGGAGCGAAAGCGUGGGGAGCGAACAGG